rnacentral:rRNA from 1 species
UACGAAGGGGGCUAGCGUUGUUCGGAAUCACUGGGCGUAAAGGGUGCGUAGGCGGGUCUUUAAGUCAGGGGUGAAAUCCUGGAGCUCAACUCCAGAACUGCCUUUGAUACUGAAGAUCUUGAGUUCGGGAGAGGUGAGUGGAACUGCGAGUGUAGAGGUGAAAUUCGUAGAUAUUCGCAAGAACACCAGUGGCGAAGGCGGCUCACUGGCCCGAUACUAACGCUGAGGCACGAAAGCGUGGGGAGCAAACAGG